rnacentral:rRNA from 1 species
UACGAAGGGGGCUAGCGUUGCUCGGAAUCACUGGGCGUAAAGGGUGCGUAGGCGGGUCUUUAAGUCAGGGGUGAAAUCCUGGAGCUCAACUCCAGAACUGCCUUUGAUACUGAGGAUCUUGAGUUCGGGAGAGGUGAGUGGAACUGCGAGUGUAGAGGUGAAAUUCGUAGAUAUUCGCAAGAACACCGGUGGCGAAGGCGGCUCACUGGCCCGUUUCUGACGCUCAGGCGCGACAGCGUGGGGAUCAAACAG